rnacentral:rRNA from 1 species
GACGAACGCUGGCGGCGUGCUUAACACAUGCAAGUCGAACGGAAAGGCCCUGCUUUUGUGGGGUGCUCGAGUGGCGAACGGGUGAGUAACACGUGAGUAACCUGCCCUUGACUUUGGGAUAACUUCAGGAAACUGGGGCUAAUACCGGAUAGGAGCUCCUGCUGCAUGGUGGGGGUUGGAAAGUUUCGGCGGUUGGGGAUGGACUCGCGGCUUAUCAGCUUGUUGGUGGGGUAGUGGCUUACCAAGGCUUUGACGGGUAGCCGGCCUGAGAGGGUGACCGGCCACAUUGGGACUGAGAUGCGGCACAGACUCCUACGGGAGGCAGCAGUGGGGAAUAUUGCACAAUGGGCGGAAGCCUGAUGCAGCAACGCCGCGUGCGGGAUGACGGCAUUCGGGUUGUAAACCGCUUUCGCCUGUGACGAAGCGUGAGUGACGGUAAUGGGUAAAGAAGCACCGGCUAACUACGUG